rnacentral:lncRNA from 1 species
UCGAUUUAUGAAGUAUUUUACACCCUGUCUCCGGAGAUCAAGCUAGUUAACUACAAACUGUUAUAACAUGCUUCAUCAUUUCAAACAACAUUAUUGAUGCUUAAUGCAAUUACAAUGACAACAUAAUAAAAAACAACCAAUAGGUUCCAUUACUUAUGCUUCAGCAGCCUCCCGAUCGACCACGCUUUCUUCAUAAGACAUAAAUCAGCUUUGCUCAUCCCCGAUCCGACAUUGAUUACAAUAUUGCUAUAACAUCCACGCCUCUUGCAUUCCAGAAUGUUACGGUGCUUGUAAAGAUGAUACGUUAUGAACCUAGACAUCUUCAACAUUUGUAGUGUUUGCGACAAUGUCUUUUAGCCUGCUAUACUUAUUUGAAACUGUGGAUUUGAUAGGAGGCGCACAUGAUGCAACGAAAAGGUCAAUUAAACUUUUUUUAAAUGAUUACAUGAUUAAAAGGUAGUACUAAUGACAAAACGUUUAUACCUUUUUGUUGAUUUCUUCAAAUUUGUCUUCAAUAGACCUUUUUGUGCACCUAUGCUUUUUGUCAUUUUUGAUCUAGAAUGUUUAUGCUUUCAUCAUUCCGAGCUUCAAAUCUAUGCACUUCCAAUUAUUACAUUUCGACGUAGACAAUUUGUUUGUUUGGCAUUCAAUCCAUCCUAAGAGAUGCUUGGACCGUUCCUCACUUGCCACGACUAAGUCUACCAUCUUGGUAAAAGUAGCACACAAGUGCUCAUAUCUCAAUUGUUCAAAUAUAGAAACCAAAAAAUCAUCCAUGGUUGGACUCACAUGUACCGUCUACUGACAUCUCUCCUCCAUAUCAUACGUAGUGGCACAUUGAACCAUUUACAAGAAUGAAAAUUUAGCUUGAAAUUCCUUCUCCACUUUACUCCUGAACGCCCGCUCCUACCACUCCACAAAAACCUUUAAUGAUGUUUUUGAAUAUACAUAAUCGUCAAAGAAUGCAUUCAUACUUUCACUCCGUUGCGUGGUUGGCAUACCAGCAUGGAAUGUAGUUUUCAAAUAACAUGAUAACUAACGACUUCUCUCAUUAUAGUCCAUUCAACCAAUCAUGAUCUUGCAAUUCAAAAUGAUUGAGCAUGUUCAACCAAACAAAUAUGUCUGUAUCUUCAUUUGAAAUCAAACCACAACCCAAUAUAGUUGAUUGCCCAUUGUGAUUCAAGCUUACAAAAGGAGCGAAAAGGCAUGUCUUCAUUUGAAAUAAGAUAUGUGGUCAAAAGUCACGAAAUUGUCAAAUUUCCUAUACGCUUCUCUACAUCUGUUAUCUACCCAAAACACAUUUCUGAAUUGACACUCUACAUUCAAGUCUAUAUUCAAAAAAUAAACUAGGACAACAUAUUUGUAUUUUUGAGAAAUAUGAUUGUAUUGCAGCAACGUCUCCUUCACCAUGCCUUAAACAUCGCACUUUGACGAUGAAAUUUCUAUAAUCAUUCUCAAAACAUGUCAUGUUAUCAAAAUGGUACAUUCUACUACUACUGAAUUAUAGCUUUUAUGCACUGGGUGAUGUGAUACGGGUUUCGGCAAAAUGAAACAAAGCAUUGGAGUUUGAUUGGAAGAAACCUAAACCAAGUUUGGGUCUUUGAAAAGCUAAUACGAGUGGUACAAUUGAUGGAUCGAGGCCCGGAGCAUACUAUGUUGAAGUAGGGAUGUCAACGAGUUGAGUUGAGCCGAGCCCGAGCCUAAAAUUUUAGGCUCGAGCUUGACUCGAUCAAAAUUGUCGAGCUUUUUUACGAGCCCGAGCCCGAGCCGAGCUUUUGCUCAGCCAAAAAAUUUCAGCUCGGCACUGCCUUUUUAAAGGCAACAAACUUGGCAUGAUAAUAUAAUUCUACCUUGCUGCCUCUUUUUCUUCUCUCUCUCUCUCUCAUUUUUCAAAUAAAAGCUCGUAAGCCGGCUCGGGCUCGGCCCAUGUCCCCAAAAUGGGGCUCAACCCAAGCCUUGGCUUGGUUCUUCGAGCCACGAGUCGAGCCGGCUCGGGCUUUUUUCCAGCCGGGCAGUGGGCCACCCAAGCCUUCAAGCUUUUUUGACACCCCUAUGUUGAAGUCCAUGAGCUAAGUGAUAACUUUCGUGCUGGGGUCGAAGUCCGGAAGCCUAUGAAACAACGUGAUUUGAGCAGCCGAAGAAGGGACCAAAUCAUAACUCCAUGCAACCACACCAUGUCCCAGGCAUGCGGUCGCAUAGGUGGCUACCGAAACUCGUAAAGCGACAACAUCUUCAACCAUGCGAUUGCACCAAGUUCUACCAUGCGGUCGCAUGGGCAAAACUGAAGACGUGAAUUUCCAAUUUUUGCGAGAAUUUUAAUUUGAUUCAAUUUCUUAUUUUUGGCAAGUUUCAUUAUUUUAGGACUCUAGAAUUUCGUUGUUUCUUUGUUUCCUUGUUUCCUAGGGUAGUAUAAAUUAUUUUCUAUCUUUCAUUAUUAAACAGACUUUGAUUUGAGAAUUAAUUCAGAGAUGCGAUUUGUAUCCAAACCUUUGUUCUUUGAAACUUUGAACUUAUCAAGGGAUCCGGUUGGGAUUUCUUGUGGUGUUCGCAACCUUGGGUGAGGUUCUUAAAUUGUGUAGUUAGGAGGUCUUCGAUUUAAUAUAUUGUUGGUUGCCUAAUUCAUCGUUUAGGACUUAAAUCCGUAAACUUCGAAUCAAAUUGGCAUUCUUGGGAUUGGUGUUACUCUCGUGUGGGUUCGAUAGUGUUCGUUGUUAUCUGGGUUCGCAUCAGGUGGUAUUAGAGCUUAGGCUUCAGGUUCGAAGUUAUAUCUUUCAAUUUGUCUUGUUGAGUCAGUUUCAUUGUUUUCCUUUUGCUCUUGUGUUCUUCAUCGUUCUUCGUUAGAAUCUUAUUUUAGAUCCGUCAAAAUAAAAAAAAAUUCGAAGUUGUUUUUCGGGUUCAUCUAGAGUCAAAACUCAAUUCUGUUUGUUGUGUUAGUGUCCUAAUCGUUUUCCCUUCGUAAGAGUCCACAAAAUUUUUUUUUACUGUUCACGUCCGUACUGUCGUCACUGUUCACGUGUCAAAAAAAAAUUUUAGUUCCUCCAAAACUUUUAUUUAUUGUCUUAGUCUUUUAACUUCUUGAUUAUUGAGUCUUGAACUAUUAUGCCACGAGUUCAAAGCCACCUAUUGUUCUUGAAAACACUGAUUGGAAGCAAUUGAGAGGUAAAAGGCUGAGUGGUGAGAUUAUUUGAGAGAAAAAACCUAAAUUGAGUGAUUUCCGAGCGAUAUAAAAAGUGAGGCAUAUAAAAAUUAGUAUUUAGGAUGUCUUGCAGCGAAGGGUCAAACUCAAGUCGAGUUGGUGCUCAAACAAAUAUGCCAGAGGAUGUGAUGUGUAGGUUUGAGUGAAUGUUGAAGAAUAUGGGUGAUAGGAUAGAAAGGAUUGACACAUUGGUUACCAAUUUGCGUAUGGAACAACGGGUUGAGGUGCCUAAUGCUAGGAGACCGGGACGGUGGGAACCGAGGAUGGAAUUGCAUGAUGAAUUUGGUUAUGGUGGUGAUGUGGAUGACGUUGGGUUCAAUGGAGCUGAAUUGGGUGGAAUGAGGAAUAGAGGAGACAGAUUUGAAAGUUGGGGCCGAAAUAAUUAUGGAGAUGACGUGGAUGGAGGUAUGGGCAACAUCAAAAUGUCCAUUUCGCCAUUUAAGGGUAGGAGUGACCCGGAGGCAUAUCUAGAAUUGGAGAAAAAGUUGGAGCUUAUCUUCGAGUGUUAUAAUUAUCCGGAGGAGAGAAAAGUGAAGCUUGCAGUUUUGGAGUUCACUGAUUACGCCAUCACUUGGUGGAAUCAUGUGAUCACUUCAAGGCGGAGGAAUGGGAAGAGACCAAUCCGAACAUGGGAUGAGUUGAAGGCAGUUAUGAAGAAGAGGUUUGUACCUAGCCAUUACCAUAGGGAGCUUUAUCAACGGUUGCAGGGGUUGUACCAAUGGUCGAGAAGUGUGGAGGAUUACCACAAAGAAAUGGAAAUUUUAAUUAUUCAGGCUAAUGUGGAAGAGGACCAAGAAGCCACCAUGGCACGUUUCUUGAAUGGGAUGAACAGAGACAUUGCUAAUGUGGUCGAUUUGCUACACUAUGUAGAACUUGAAGACAUGUUGCAUGUGACAAUGACAGUGGAGCGGCAAUUGAAGAGGAAAGGGCCGGCUAGGACUCCAUCGGGUCAUAAUUCAUCUUGGAAGCCUAGAGGGGAAGAAGAAAGGGUUGAUGUGGCUAUGGCAAACAAUAAAAUCGGCGCACCGAAGGCAAAUGAAGAGGUUGUUGGCAAUACUACAAACAAGGUGGGUUCACAAAAUACUAGGAGUCGGGACAUUACGUGCUUCAAAUGUUUAGGGAAGGGGCACAUUGCAUCUUAAUGUCCUAAUAAAAGAGCAAUGAUUUUGAGUGCCCACGGGAAAGUGUUUAGUGAUAACGAUGGAGAUGGGAUGCCCAAGCUAGAGGAUGUUAGUGGUGGUGAAGUGGUGGAGUAUCCGGUGGACGGUGAAGUACUUGUGGUUAUGCGCGCACUUAACACUCAAAUCAAAGUGGAAAGAGAGGAGCAACAACUGGAAAACAUCUUCCAUACCCAAUGCCAUGUUGCAAACAAGGUAUGUAGGUUAAUAAUUGAUGGGGGAUGUUGUACAAACGUUGCUAGUACUAGGUUGGUUGAAAAAUUAUGUUUAACUACAAUUAAACACCCUAGGCCAUAAAAAUUAGAAUGGUUAGAUGACCGUGGAGAGGCUAAGGUGAAUAAACAAGUAGUUGUUAAUUUUUCUAUUGGGAGUUAUAAGGACGAGGUGUUGUGUAAUGUGGUGCCUAUGGAUGUGGGUCAUAUUUUGUUGGGUAGGCCAUUGCAAUAUGAUCGAAGGGUUAUGCAUGAUGGGUUUAGAAAUUGGUAUAGCUUUGAAAUGGGUGGAAAAUCUAUUACGCUUGUACCAAUGACGCCGCAACAAGUGUAUGAUGAUCAAGUGAGGUUGAGAGGUGAGAAUGUGAGAAAAAAUAAAGAUAAACAAAACGAGAGCUCGAGAGAAAAUGGAGAGGUGGCUAGGAGUGAUAAAAAUUAAGUGGGGCCACAAGAAAGAAAAGAACGAGCACUUGAGCGAGAGAAAAUUAUAAAGCGAGCUUUUUCGUGAAAAAAGGUGAGUCCGAGCAGGACUUGGAGAGGUCUACCACAUCCCUCCCUAUUUUGUAUAACUCUUUGAUGCAUGACUAUGAGACGUUGAUGCAUUCGAAUUUUCGUAAAGGGAUAACACCUUUUGAAUAUUCAGUCGAUGCAUCGCAUUUGGAGAGCAUCAUGAACUUCAACGCGGGACUAUCUUUCAUGGCAUUACGGGGUUUAAAAUAUCAAUCAAGGAGUGGACACGGGCCAAGUAUUUGAACCAGGUGCAGAUUCGAGGUCGAAUCUUCUCGAAGAGGGAGGGGAUGAUGUGAUACGGGUUUCACCAAAACGAACCAAAGCAUUGGAGUUUGAUUGGAAGAAACCUAAACCAAGUUCGGGUCUUCAGGAAGCUAAUACGGGUGACACAAUUGAUGGAUCGAGGCAUGGAGCAUACUAUGUUGAAGUCCAUGAGCUAAGUGACAACUUUCAUAUUGGGGUCGAAGUCUGGAAGCCUAUGAAACAACGUGAUUCGAGCAGCCGAAGAAGGGACCAAACCAUAACUCCAUGCGACCGCACCGUGCUGCAGGCAUGCAGUCGCACAGGUGGCUACCGAAACUCGAGAGGUGGCAACAUCGUCAACCAUGCGACUGCACCAAGUUCUACCAUGCGGUCGCAUGGGCAAAACUGAAGACUCGAAUUUUCAAUUUUUGAGAGAAUUUUAAUUUGAUUCAAUUUCUUAUUUUUGGCAAGUUUCAUUAUUUUCGGACUCUAGAAUUUCGUGGUUUCCUUGUUUCCUAUGGUAGUAUAAAUUAUUUUCUAUCUUUCAUUAUUAAACAGACUUUGAUUUGAGAAUUAAUUCGGAGAGGCGAUUUGCUUCCAAACCUUUGUUCUUCGGGAUUUUAAAGUUAUUAAGGGAUUCGGUUGGGAUUUCUUGUGGCGUUGGCAACCUUGGGUGAGGUUCUUAAAUUGUGUAUUUAGGAGGUCUUCGAUUUAAUAUAUCGUUUGUAGCCUAAUUCAUCGUUUAGGAAUUAAAUCCGUAAACUUCAAAUCAAAUUGGCGUUCUUGGGAUUGGUGUUACUCUCGUGUGGGUUCGAUAAUGUUCGUUGCUAUCCGGGUUCGCAUAACUGGGAUUCUUGUUAUAUUGCUUACCUCAAGUUGUCUUAUAAUACGUUUACUACGUUGUUGAUUGCAUUUGUACAAUCUACACUCAGAUUGACUUGUUUUAUUGUUGUGUUCUAAGUACACAAUAUUUAUUCUAAAUAUUCCACAUACAUUAGAACACGCAGUCAACCUGGUUUAACACCUUGUCUCAGUUGUUGGUGGAGGAAGUAAAACUCAUAUAUCGUACUAUCCCUCCAUCUCCCGUCUUUGUGUUUCAUUUUCUAAUAGAAAACCUAUGGUAAGCAUAUUUUUUGUAGAAUUCAAAUACCUCCAUCAUGUUAGCAAAUUUCAUACCAACCUCCGGCACAAUAAUCACAUUUUUAACACCUAACAUUUUCUUAGCCAAACUAUCAUGGCCUACAAAAUCAGAUGAGUCAAUCUCCACUCUUACAGGAAAUAAUAUUUCACAAAAUUAGACGAGUUAAUAAUAUGCAAGCGCAUUUGUAAGCAAUGCGCAAUAACAAUUGCUUUAUAUUUAUAUCAUGCAUCGAAAAUCAACAAGGAAAUACCCAUCAAAUUAUAGGAAUUGUUGUGAAAUCUACAAAAAUUAGAUUCAGUUGGUGUCCACUAUACUGAAACUCAAGGUGUAGUCAUUCUUGAAUCAUUCGCCAAUUUUCUAUAUGGGAUGCUUUGUGGUACCAAGUUGUUUAAUAAAAGAGAAACAGUACUCGAAAAAAUGAAGCAUACCGUCAUUGAUGACCUUGUCAACCAUGUCUUUGGACAUAUUACGUGAAUCUCCUUUUAUAUAGGUAUACUUCUUUGCAUUGAGUUUGGGAAGAAGAAAAAGGAAAUGUUACAUUGGAAUUCAUCUCUCAAUAAUACACUUCGAAUGUAGAGAAAAACAAAUUUUACCAGUUGAGCUAGUGUUGCCUUCCAAUCCACUGGCGAGCACAUCGAAAAAAGAGAUCCAUUAGUAGGAAUGUGACUGUCGAGAGACCAGGUGGGAGUAGGAAGGGAAAG